UCGAGUGUAUGCAGCAUGGCCAACCAACAGGUAAAUCUGUUGUAGGAGCGAAUGAGAGCCCUUUGUUUUUUUGUGGGGGGAGGGAAUAUGAGAGAACUAAGUACUCUGUGCCCCAUGGCUGAGUGGCUCAUCAUAUAACCUCAUAUAUGCACGUUAUUCAGUUUGAAAAUAACAAACGGAGUAUUCCUCUUCUCCCCUCCACCCCUCUCAAAAAAUACGAAAAAUCUCUUCUAUAUAUGUAUGUAUGGCUGUGUGUGUGAGAGAGUUUGUAUGACAACUACCUGUUCAUCACCUGCAUCAGUGUGGCUCUGCUCUGAACUCAUACCCAGACGCGCUUUCUCAUACUCCCUCCCUGGUGUAUUUUUAUUGUGCUAGGCCGACGUUGUGAUAUUCAGUGGAAACAACAAGAUUUUACCGCGCGCCAUACAAUGGCGGUGUUGUUGCUUCUGCUGUUGUAGAAGAAAAGUUAUAACAACAGAGAUACACGGAUACUUGUGGAUUGUUGGAUGGAUGGUUGUAUGGAUGGCUGGUUGCUUGGACGGACAAACAAUGAGCCAGGCAAACUAUUGUUCGCUUAGGUAGCUGGCAGCCACUCCAAGCCAUAACCAAAAAAACAACAACGAAAACAACAACACAACCGACCAGGCUAUAACCCUCUGCUGCUGCGCUCUAAACAUGGACUUGUAAGGUAAAGCCUGCAUGCCAACGACAUCAGUACGUAAAUGACCGUGCAACAAACGUGAGUGAGUUCGUUCGUUCGUCCAGUUUAGUGACGUUGCGCGCACCUAACCCAAAACCAACAACAAAAAAGAGAAAAACUUGUACAACAUUCGUUCAGCUUAAAUGCACAACAAACUGUAUUUCAUUACAACAACAAAAACACCAGUAAAAAAAUAUAUAAAACAACAACACACCAUGUGAUAGUUUUCUAAGAAAAAUCUAAAACAAAAUCAAAAAACGACGCUCUGAAAAAUAAGUCAGAAAACAAAUUUCUAACGGCGAAAACAAAAAAAAAAAAAAACUCAAUUAAACUUGGAUCGGUAAUUGGAUUACGAGAAGCGCACAUUGGCAGCGCAUAACCGCAAAUAUGCGUAUUCUAAAGCAUUGGUAAGUGUCUGGAGUAACAGAAACGUAGAACUAACAGUUUUAGUAGACCACAACAAAAUAACAAAAAAAAAAAAAAAAAAAAAAAUACAAAA